AGAAGGGAGCUUGACUGCGAGACUGACAAGUCGAGCAGGGACGAAAGUCGGGCUUAGUGAUCCGGUGGUUCCGUAUGGAAGGGCCAUCGCUCAACGGAUAAAAGCUACCCUGGGGAUAACAGGCUUAUCUCCCCCAAGAGUCCACAUCGACGGGGAGGUUUGGCACCUCGAUGUCGGCUCAUCGCAUCCUGGGGCUGUAGUCGGUCCCAAGGGUUGGGCUGUUCGCCCAUUAAAGCGGUACGCGAGCUGGGUUCAGAACGUCGUGAGACAGUUCGGUCCCUAUCCGUCGCGGGCGCAGGAAAUUUGAGAGGAGCUGUCCUUAGUACGAGAGGACCGGGAUGGACGUUCCGCUGGUGUACCAGUUGUGCCGCCAGGCGCAUCGCUGGGUAGCUAUGAACGGAAGGGAUAAACGCUGAAAGCAUCUAAGUGUGAAGCCCCCCUCGAGAUGAGAUUUCCCAUUCCUAUAUGGAAGUAAGACCCCUGAAAGAUGAUCAGGUAGAUAGGCUGGAAGUGGAAGUGCAGCGAUGCAUGGAGCGGACCAGUACUAAUCGGUCGAGGACUUAACCAAG
rnacentral:rRNA from 2 species